AGUAAAUGCAAUCCAUCCUGGGUCAUUAUGAAUUUUGAGUUGCUCUUGAUCCCAUUGGCCCAUGCUUUAGUUUCAAAAGUGUUGGAGAUUUCCUGCUCCUCCUCAUGCAGAUGCAUUCAGGGUCCCUGGACCUUUAUUUUCUCUAUUCCACAUGGAGCUGAAUCCCACUGGAGGGUGCCAAGUGAUGGUGGAAAACUUCUGACCACACAUGCCUCCUACCUCCCUGGGGCCCUCCCAAUUAUUUCUGGGCCUCACUCCUUAUGGUGAGUCUCCUUUUUGCCUUUUAUUCUUUAUGAUGUAUCCUUGUGCCACCAAAAGACACAGACAUCCCUUUUUUGAAUGCUCCAAUGAAUGAUUCCCUAUGUUAUGGAGGAAUUCUUUUUGCUUCCACUGCACCUUUCAUUUCCUAACCCAUCAU